rnacentral:rRNA from 2 species
UGGUGGGUAGUUUGACUGGGGCGGUCUCCUCCUAAAGAGUAACGGAGGAGCACGAAGGUUGGCUAAUCCUGGUCGGACAUCAGGAGGUUAGUGCAAUGGCAUAAGCCAGCUUGACUGCGAGCGUGACGGCGCGAGCAGGUGCGAAAGCAGGUCAUAGUGAUCCGGUGGUUCUGAAUGGAAGGGCCAUCGCUCAACGGAUAAAAGGUACUCCGGGGAUAACAGGCUGAUACCGCCCAAGAGUUCAUAUCGACGGCGGUGUUUGGCACCUCGAUGUCGGCUCAUCACAUCCUGGGGCUGAAGUAGGUCCCAAGGGUAUGGCUGUUCGCCAUUUAAAGUGGUACGCGAGCUGGGUUUAGAACGUCGUGAGACAGUUCGGUCCCUAUCUGCCGUGGGCGCUGGAGAACUGAGGGGGGCUGCUCCUAGUACGAGAGGACCGGAG